GCUUUUGGGCUGUCGCAGAUGGAUGAGCCUGCGUUGGAUUAGCUAGUUGGUGGGGUAAGGGCCUACCAAGGCUACGAUCCAUAGCUGAUUUGAGAGGAUGAUCAGCCACAUUGGGACUGAGACACGGCCCAAACUCCUACGGGAGGCAGCAGUGAGGAAUAUUGGACAAUGGGGGCAACCCUGAUCCAGCAAUGCCAUGUGUGUGAAGAAGGCCUUAGGGUUGUAAAGCACUUUAGUUGGGGAAGAAAGCUUUGAGGUUAAUAGCCUUAAGGAAGGACGUUACCCAAAGAAUAAGCACCGGCUAACUCCGUGCCAGCAGCCGCGGUAAUACGGGGGGUGCAAGCGUUAAUCGGAAUUACUGGGCGUAAAGGGUCUGUAGGUGGUUUGUUAAGUCAGAUGUGAAAGCCCAGGGCUCAACCUUGGAACUGCAUUUGAUACUGGCAAACUAGAGUACGGUAGAGGAAUGGGGAAUUUCUGGUGUAGCGGUGAAAUGCGUAGAGAUCAGAAGGAACACCAAUGGCGAAGGCAACAUUCUGGACCGAUACUGACACUGAGGGACGAAAGCGUGGGGAUCAAACAGGAUUAGAUACCCUGGUAGUCCAUGCUGUAAACGAUGAGUACUAGCUGUUGGAGUCGGUGUAAAGGCUCUAGUGGCGCAGCUAACGCGAUAAGUACUCCGCCUGGGGACUACGGCCGCAAGGCUAAAACUCAAAGGAAUUGACGGGGACCCGCACAAGCGGUGGAGCAUGUGGUUUAAUUCGAUGCAACGCGAAGAACCUUACCUGGUCUUGACAUCCUGCGAGCUUUCU
rnacentral:rRNA from 1 species